CGGGGGGGGCAAGCGUUGUUCGGAUUUACUGGGCGUAAAGGGCGCGUAGGCGGCGCGACAAGUCACUUGUGAAAUCUCCGGGCUUAACCCGGAGCGGCCAAGUGAUACUGUCGUGCUUGAGUGCGGAAGGGGCCAUCGGAAUUCUCGGUGUAGCGGUGAAAUGCGUAGAUAUCGAGAGGAACACCUGCGGCGAAGGCGGGUGGCUGGGCCGACACUGACGCUGAGGCGCGAAAGCCAGGGGAGCGAACGGGAUUAGAUACCCCGGUAGUCCUGGCCUUAAACGAUGGAUGCUUGGUGUCCGGGGUGAGGAAGUCCCCGGGUGCCGGCGCUAACGCAUUAAGCAUCCCGCCUGGGGAGUACGGCCGCAAGGCUG
rnacentral:rRNA from 1 species